rnacentral:antisense_RNA from 1 species
CACAAGGAAGGUUUCACCCCGUUGCCGAAAGACUAAGCGUCCCGUUGGCCAGUGCAACGAAGAACGGAGGAAGCGACUGUGGUGGACGGUGGUGCCCCAAAACUUCACAACCACCUAGACAUUCGGAAGGUGACCUUAUUUGGAAUAAGAGAUUUUGCAGAUAUAAUUGAGUUAAAGAUCUGAGGAUGAAAUCAUCAUGAAUUUAGGGUAGGCCGUAAAUCCAAUGACUGACAUACUUACAAGAAGACAAGAGGACACAGGCACCCGGGGGAAGAGGCCGUAGGAGACCCAGGCAGAGAUUUGGAGCGGUGCCCAUGCCAGGGAUCUCCAGGAGGAGCCAGAAGCUGGAAGAGGCCCUGCAGAUCCUCUCCCAGAGCCUUUGGAGGAGGCACAACCCUAUCCACACCUUGGUCUCCACCUUCUGGCCUCCAGAGCUGUAGGGGAACCCACUUCUGUGGUUUGAAGCCACCAAGUUCGUGGUGACUUAUGGCAGCCCUAGGAAAGUGACAUGCACAGGUAAACCACAUUCACUGCAGAAAAUAUACAAAUCAGCAAAAAGAAAAAAAGCACACAGGGGCACCACCCCCAGAGACAGCCAUCGCUGACAUCCUAGCGGCUGUCACCUCGGAGUGAUGUUCGUAAAAUGCAAACUUCUGAACUGCUUAAAACUCUUCCAG